AUUUGACGUUUGUUUUGGGCUAUUUCCCAGCUUCCUUAAGCUAUUCCCUUCCUUAUUCAGCGAUAAAGUAGAGCUGACUCCGUGUGAAUAAAUUCUGUCACUGACAAUUGUUUUCUUAAUCAAUUUCAGGAGUUACCGAAUCAGAAUUGGAUGAACCGGACUACCCACCAGGGACAGUUACUUGUCUUUUACAAUAUCCAGGAAGUGCCCUUCAUCACAGACGCUGAAGUUUGACUGUGGCCUUAUGCGGUACAUUGUACUGACAUAUUUUCUCAUGGGAACUGUUGGGCUAGUUCAGGCAAGUAUCUGCAAUGCUUAAACAGACAGUUUCAGGCUGGAGAAUUUAAGAGACAACCAAAUAGAGUUUUAAUGCCCUGUAAGAUAAUAACGAAAGACAUUUAUGAAAAAAAAAAUUCCAGUUAGUUUGAAAGCCAGGGCCCGCACUCCAUAUUUUGACAGCAGAUGGAUGGCUAGCUUGACUGAUCCUGGUUUACUUUCUGACUUGAAUUUGUCCCCUAGUCCAGUGAAAUCAUAAGGGCUCCCUUCAAUCUGGUUAAUGUUCAGAACCAAUGUUUGAGUUUUAGACUAAUUAAGGGGCAACCACUGACAUUUUUUCUAUAAUGUGAAGACUGGUGCCAGCAGUAACUCAGUGAGAUUUAACAUAAAAGCCAGAUAAAACAAUUAAAGUGGAAGAAUAUUUGAUUAAGUGGAUCACUGAUUUAUAGUGAGGUAAAUUGAAAUUGAAAGGAGAGUGAACUUUUUAUGGCAAUCAUAUAUUACGUUCAUUAUCAGAGACUCUGGAUCCUUUGUGCUUUUGUGAUUUAAAAAGAAAUAAACCAGUUUAAGGAGAGUCAUCCUGGC
rnacentral:lncRNA from 1 species